GACGAACGCUGGCGGCGUGCCUAAUACAUGCAAGUUGAGCGAUGAAGAUUGGUGCUUGCACCAAUUUGAAGAGCAGCGAACGGGUGAGUAACGCGUGGGGAAUCUGCCUUUGAGCGGGGGACAACAUUUGGAAACGAAUGCUAAUACCGCAUAAUAACUUUAAACAUAAGUUUUAAGUUUGAAAGAUGCAAUUGCAUCACUCAAAGAUGAUCCCGCGUUGUAUUAGCUGGUUGGUGAGGUAAAGGCUCACCAAGGCGAUGAUACAUAGCCGACCUGAGAGGGUGAUCGGCCACAGUGGGACUGAGACACGGCCCAAACUCCUACGGGAGGCAGCAGUAGGGAAUCUUCGGCAAUGGACGAAAGUCUGACCGAGCAACGCCGCGUGAGUGAAGAAGGUUUUCGGAUCGUAAAACUCUGUUGGUAGAGAAGAACGUUGGUGAGAGUGGAAAGCUCAUCAAGUGACGGUAACUACCCAGAAAGGGACGGCUAACUACGUG
rnacentral:rRNA from 1 species